UUUUUAUUUGUUUUGGUAACUUUUUUUUUUUUUAUUUAUUAUAUGUUUUAGUGAUAAAAUAUUUGAUAGUUUUUUUUAUACAUAACAAAAAAAACUCAAUGCAUGCUAACAUUCUUUUGAAAUAAAUAUAGGAGUUGUCAAAAUUGAACACUGUUAUUAUAGGGUAUAAAAGUAUUAUGUAUUGCUAUUAUGAAUUUACUAAUAUAUAUAAAUUGUACAGAAUAGUGUAUAUUUGUGAUUUUUAUAUACACAAAAAAAAAAAAAAAAUAAAAAAAAUAAAAUAAAAUAAAAAAGAAGCCAGUUUACGAAAUUUACCUUAUUAUACAAUUCUAAUUCUAUAAAAAAAAAAUAAAACCGUUACAAAAUGGCGGAAGCCCUGAGUAAGUUACCUUCUAAAAUAUAUUACGAUCAGUUAUUGAAUAAGAGUGACCUUGAUAAAUAUGUUGAUAGUUCAUAUGUAAAGCAAAUAGAUAAAAAUGUUGAAAAUAUCACACAUGCAAAAAAAAUUAUGAUGAUGCUUGAAAAAAAUAUAGAUGUAUUAUAUAACACUGAAGACACAAGUUUUCAUCAAAAACAUUGUUUCGAUUUAAAUUUUUGGUUAUAUGUAACAAUACAUAAAAAUCUUACUAAACCUAAAAACUUAUCUAAAUUGUUUCAAGCACUUGAUGAAUAUUAUACAGAAUGGGAUAAAAUAAAUAAAAAUAAAAAGUUAAAAAGUGAUUUUUUAUGUAAACCAGAUAGGAGUUUAGUUGGUAUAAAGUUUUUGAAGGAAGUUAAGCACUUGUUUGAUUAUUUUGAAAAUUUUGAGUUUGUUAAAAAUGAGGCUAAGAAAAAUUGUGAUGAAGCUUGUAAUAAAUAUUAUGCUCUAUUAAAAACGGUAAUUCCAAUUUAUUACAGAUGGUUAGCUAUAUGUAAAUUGAAAAAAAAAAAUAUAUGCAAUAAAUAUAUUUCGAUUCAUGACGAUUUUGCCCCAAGAUCAAUCUUACAACAUGUUAAUCUUGUUAGUCUUGCCUUUUCAGCCUUAGUAAAUAAAUGUUUUAAAAAUGUUAUGAAUUUAGUAAAACAAUCUGAGCAAUUGGAACCUCGCACAGAUGUAUUAAUUAGAAGUUCUAAAAAUAAACCUAGAAUUGUAAAAUUAAUAAAAAAUAGAGUAUUAGCUGCCGCAGAGGGUGAUAUAUUUGGAAUAAUAUCUGAAAAUAAUCAUAGCUAUUAUUUAUUAAGUUAUAUAGUAUGGUUUUUGAACACAACAUAUUCAUACAUUAAUGAAAAUAUUGUUUUAGUAUGUGCCUUUAUUUUAGGAAUGUUAUUUAUUUUUGGUAUUUUUUACGAAGUAAGAAAUAUUGCUAAAAAAAAAAAAAAAAAAUUAAAUGCCUUAUUUUUGAAAAUAUAUUGUCAUCAGCAAUAUUCAUAAAAAAUAUAUAUAUAUAUAUAUAUAAAUUUACAUUUUUUUUUUUUUUUUUUUUUUAUUUU
rnacentral:lncRNA from 1 species